rnacentral:snRNA from 1 species
GUGCUUGCUUCAGCAGCACAUACACUAAAAUUGGAAUGACACAGAGAAGAUUAGCAUGGCCCCAGGCAAGGAUGACAUGCAAAUUCGUGAAGCAUUGCAUAUUUUU